UGACGGCGUGCUUAACACAUGCAAGUCGAACGAGACGAAUUAGAAGCUUGCUUUGACGAGUCGAGUGGCAAACGGGUGAGUAACGCGUAGACAACCCGCCGCAAAGAUGGGGACAACAGUCCGAAAGGACUGCUAAUACCGAAUGUUGUAUCUCCUCCGCAUGGAAGAGAUAUUAAAGAUUGGCCUCGUACUUGUAAGCUAUCGCUUUGCGAUGGGUCUGCGUCUGAUUAGCUAGUUGGUGGGGCAACGGCCUACCAAGGCGACGAUCAGUAGCCGGGUCUGAGAGGAUGAACGGCCACAUUGGAACUGAGACACGGUCCAGACUCCUACGGGAGGCAGCAGUGGGGAAUCUUCCGCAAUGGGCGAAAGCCUGACGGAGCAACGCCGCGUGAGUGAAGAAGGUCUUCGGAUCGUAAAGCUCUGUUGUCGGGGACGAAUGUUGAGGCCUAGAAUAUAGGUUUCAAAUGACGGUACCUGACGAGGAAGCCACGGCUAACUACGUG
rnacentral:rRNA from 1 species